UUUGAAAAGAGACAGUUACAAACACGCAUCAAAGAACAUCGAAACCAUAUCAGGAGAAACACUUCCACACAAUCGGUCAUAACGACGCAUAGAAUAACAUACAAUCACGAUUUUGAUUCGGAAAAUGUGAACAUUCUUGACAGGGAACAACACUUAUAUAAACGACUAAUAUCGGAGAUGGCACACAUUAAACUACAGAAAAACAGUCUGAAUGUACAAACUGAUACGAAAUUUUUGUAAGAAGCAUACAUUUCUGUUCUACAUAAAUUGCAAUAAUUUAAAAAAAAAAGAGUGGAAGCAUCAGUUCUGAAGUAAAAAAGUACAGACUAUAAGAGUUAUGAUUGGUAGAAAAUUUAAAUAGAAAAGAAGGUUAUAGCCGGCUUGAUUUAGGAACACAAUAGAUUGUAAAUGAAUGUUUCGAGAAUGACUUACCAUUAUACGUUUGAAAGACAUCUGAACAACAGUAAUCUUAUUUCGCUCACACACACGUUCAAAUUUAAGUAACGGAAUCUGUACACUUGUUCAUUUGACAGUCAUCAAAUAAGGAAGUCCACCAGUAUUGUCACAUGGACAUUGUACGUGAACAUAUAGAAGCUACACACAUGUAAACUCUGAUACACGCUGAGGAUGACUCAAAGGAGAGCCGAAACGUACGGAAUAAAGAUUAGUGUAAAUAAUAACUACACCUUACUGAAGAAUUUUAAUCAUUGCACGCAACGAGUUUCUCAUAGCCAUCGGAUCCUAUACAUUGUGAAUUUGACGAGAAACGAGAAUUUGCAAAGGUUUUAUUAUAAGAAAAAGUUGAUUAGUUUUCUCACCAGCAAUAAUCAUGUGUGCAAUAAAACUUAUGCGCAAAUGUACAUCGUCUCUCAAUUUUUAUUUAUGCACAAAAGAGCUUGUAGAUAAUCGAUCUUGUAGAUAAUCGAUCAAUAGUACCAUGUGUGCAAUAGAGCUUGUGUGCAAAAAUUCGGGUGUGCGAACGUCAUCUCUUUUUUAUUCUUGCGCAAAAAAGCUUAUAGGCAAUUGAUUUGUAAACAAUUGAUUUGUAGGCAAAAAGUUUUGUGCGCAAAAGAUUUGCUGGCAAACAGUUUAUUAGUAAUCAAUUUGUAGGCAAUUGGGGUCCUCUGGAGAAAAAAAAUUUUCAGCAAGAUUGAAUAACUUAAUGUUAUUUUUAACUAAAUUAAGUUAAUAAUUUAUAAAAUUAAAUGAAAAUAAAAGCAUGAACUAAAAGUUAAGCAGUGAAGUAAAUUGCCUAUAUGGUCUGCAUCAGAUUUUAAUGAUAAAUAUUAUUUUUCAGCUGAAAAUAUUAAAUAAAAAAAUUAUAUUUAUCACUAAGAUCUGAUGCAAACCGUAUAGACAAUUUAGUUCUUUAAUAUGUUUAAAACAUUUAUUGGUCAAAGAAUUGAUUUACUCAAAAAUUAAGGUUGCACAAGUUAAAAAUGUAAAAUUAAAUAAA